CAACACACUGCAGGAAAAUGACCAGAAGUUUUAUACUUUAUAUACAUCACCUGCAAGAUAGCCAUGGAGCUGUACAGAAAUGGGAUAGCUGCUGUCCUGUCAGGAGUAUCUGCAGAGCACAAUCAUUCCUCCAAGGAAACCCAUCUAUAUCAUUCCUGUGCAACAGAUGAGAUGUUUAAGAGUAUGGAUUGAGGCUGAAGGGAUUCCAAGGUUACAUUCUACCCUUUGCAAAAGCUUGAGAGGAACAAGUAUAAUUGAAUUGGCAACGCGUUCCCUUUGACAUUGAUUUUUACAACAACUUCACCUUUCAGACAAAGCCUCACAUGUUAUUCAUUUGGAAUUCAUCGUGAAUGUUUUCAAAUCUGGUUUCUGUCUGCUCUGGGGAAAAGAAAGAACAACACACGAAAUAGUGCAGUGUAAAGCACGGGUCAGAAGCAGAACAAUCCAGGCAAUGUUCAAAUGGCAGAGGGCUGGAUGUGGAGCUGGUAUAUACAUUGGACAGAUACUGUUCCGAUGGAUGAGUCUUCCUUCAGUGCUGCUGCAGCUGCCCUGGAGUCAGUGGAGUGACACGAGGGGUAAGAGUGGUCAGUGAUUUCUUCAUGAACUGACCUUGCUGCUUCUCUGUCGAUCAUAACUUUGGGUUUGUGGGAACACAGCCCUUAAAAUCAGCCACAUUUUCUGCCCAACUCAUCACAGUCAAUCAUAGAGAAAGCCUUCAGGCUGGGCGCUCUGCAGAAAGGUAGGACUGACCCAUUGGGUGAAUUGUUUCCAUCACU
rnacentral:lncRNA from 14 species